rnacentral:rRNA from 1 species
AGAAGUGGUUAGUCUAACCUUCGGGAGGACGAUCACCACGGUGUGGUUCAUGACUGGGGUGAAGUCGUAACAAGGUAGCCGUAGGGGAACCUGCGGCUGGAUCACCUCCUUA